rnacentral:rRNA from 1 species
GAUGAACGCUGGCGGCGUGCUUAACACAUGCAAGUCGAACGGUGAACGAGGGAGCUUGCUCCCUCCGGAUCAGUGGCGAACGGGUGAGUAACACGUGAGCAAUCUGCCCUGGACUCUGGGAUAAGCGUUGGAAACGACGUCUAAUACCGGAUACGAGACGCGAAGGCAUCUUCAGCGCCUGGAAAGAACUUCGGUCCAGGAUGAGCUCGCGGCCUAUCAGGUAGUUGGUGAGGUAACGGCUCACCAAGCCUACGACGGGUAGCCGGCCUGAGAGGGUGACCGGCCACACUGGGACUGAGACACGGCCCAGACUCCUACGGGAGGCAGCAGUGGGGAAUAUUGCACAAUGGGCGCAAGCCUGAUGCAGCAACGCCGCGUGAGGGACGACGGCCUUCGGGUUGUAAACCUCUUUUAGCAGGGAAGAAGCGAAAGUGACGGUACCUGCAGAAAAAGCACCGGCUAACUACGUGCCAGCAGCCGCGUAAGAC